UUAAACGUCAUUUGACAGAUGGUGCAAGAGAAAUCAGAAAGUAAUCAAUGUUUAAAUUUUUAAUCAACGAUUAGGCAAAUGGUGCAACUGGCCCUUACACUUCGGGCUCAGGAAAUUCAUAAACUGCAAUUUUCAUCGGUUUCAAGGUGAUUUAUGAUUUAAGGUGUCACACUGACUCAAAUCACAGAGGUUUCAGAACAAGAUCCGUUUAUUCAGAAUAUCAAGUUGAAAUGAUGAAAAAACAGUAUGAUUUAAAUCCUCUACCGUC